CAGUCGCCGCGGUAAUACGAAGGGUGCAAGCGUUACUCGGAAUUACUGGGCGUAAAGCGUGCGUAGGUGGUUGUUUAAGUCUGCUGUGAAAGCCCUGGGCUCAACCUGGGAAUUGCAGUGGAUACUGGGCAACUAGAGUAAGGUAGAGGAUAGUGGAAUUUCCGGUGUAGCAGUGAAAUGCGUAGAGAUCGGAAGGAACAUCUGUGGCGAAGGCGACCAUCUGGGCCAUUACUGACGCUGAGGUACGAAAGCAUGGGGAGCAAACAAGAUUAGAUACCCGUGUAGUCCCUGUCUCUUAUAA
rnacentral:rRNA from 1 species